UGUGUGAUGCAUGGGGGCAGAUAGGAGGGAGAAAUGAGAGACGAGAGUGGCAGGCAGCUCGAUAAGACAUCGCCGUUUCUUGGAAAGGAAGCUUUGGAGGCAACUGAAUUAUGCAAAGAUGUUUAUGCGGUGACUAAACUGUUGGCUCGUUCUGUCCGUGAAGUCCUGUAGCAAAGUUGGAAAUCCCACCUGAAAGACACUGGAGAAAUUCACUGGAACGACCCACAGAGCUGUCAUCCUGCAGACGGGUGCAAAACCAUCACAUCCUGCAAUAAUGAUCCUUAUCCUCAGUCUGUCUGUGAUAAACAAGCAGCGUCCGGGAUCCAGCUUCAGACCCGGUAUUUCAGCUGACG